UACGUAGGGGGCAAGCGUUGUCCGGAUUUAUUGGGCGUAAAGAGCGUGUAGGCGGCCAAGUAAGUCUGCUGUGAAAACUCGAGGCUUAACCUCGAGCUGUCGGCGGAAACUAUUUGGCUAGAGUCCGGAAGAGGAGAAUGGAAUUCCCGGUGUAGCGGUGAAAUGCGCAGAUAUCAGGAGGAACACCAAUGGCGAAGGCAGCUCGCUGGGACGGUACUGACGCUGAGACGCGAAAGCGUGGGGAGCGAACAGG
rnacentral:rRNA from 1 species